UACAGAGGGCGCGAGCGUUGUCCGGAAUCACUGGGCGUAAAGGGCGCGUAGGUGGCCACCAUAAGGCCGCGGUGAAAGUCUGGGGCUCAACUCCAGAUCGGCCGCGGCGACUGUGGGGCUUGGGCACUGUAGAGGCAGGUGGAAUUCCGGGUGUAGCGGUGGAAUGCGUAGAGAUCCGGAAGAACACCAGUGGCGAAGGCGACUCCUGGAC
rnacentral:rRNA from 1 species